rnacentral:rRNA from 1 species
UACGUAGGGUGCAAGCGUUAAUCGGAAUUACUGGGCGUAAAGCGUGCGCAGGCGGUUCUAUAAGACAGAUGUGAAAUCCCCGGGCUCAACCUGGGAAUUGCAUUCGAGACUGUGUAGCUGGGGUGCGGAAGAGGGAAGCGGAAUUUCCGGUGUAGCGGUGAAAUGCGUAGAUAUCGGAAGGAACAUCAGUGGCGAAAGCGGCUUCCUGGUCCAGCACCGACGUUCAGGCACGAAAGCGUGGGGAGCAAACAGG